rnacentral:rRNA from 1 species
AUUGAACGCUGGCGGCAGGCCUAACACAUGCAAGUCGAACGAGUGGCAGACGGGUGAGUACUGUCUGGGCAACUGCCUGAUGGAGGGGGAUAACUAAUGGAAAAGGUAGCUAAUACCGCAUACCCUCAGAUGGCACCAGGUGGGAUUAGCUAGUGGGUGGGGUAACGGCGCACCAAGGCGACGAUCCCUAGCUGGUCGGAGAGGAUGACCAGCCAAACUGGAACGUAGACACGGUCCAGACUCCUACGGGAGGCAGCAGGGGGGAAUAUGGCAAAAUGGGCGCAAGCCUGAUGCAGCCAUGCCGCGUGUAUGAAGAAGGCCUUCGGGUUGUAAAGUACUUUCAGCGGGGAGGCGUUACCCGCAGAAGAAGCACCGGCUAACUCCGUGCCAGCCGCCGCGGUAAUAC